UACGGAGGGGGCUAGCGUUGUUCGGAAUUACUGGGCGUAAAGCGCACGUAGGCGGAUGUUCAAGUCGGGGGUGAAAUCCCGGGGCUCAACCCCGGAAUGGCCUCCGGUACUGGAUGCCUUGAGGUCUGGAGAGGUGGGUGGAAUUCCGAGUGUAGAGGUGAAAUUCGUAGAUAUUCGGAGGAACACCAGUGGCGAAGGCGGCCCACUGGCCAGAUACUGACGCUGAGGUGCGAAAGCGUGGGGAGCAAACAGG
rnacentral:rRNA from 1 species